rnacentral:rRNA from 1 species
AAUGGGCGAAAGCCUGACGCAGCGACGCCGCGUGAGGGAUGAAGGUUCUCGGAUCGUAAACCUCUGUCAGGGGGGAAGAAACCCCCUCGUGUGAAUAAUGCGAGGGCUUGACGGUACCCCCAAAGGAAGCACCGGCUAACUCCGUGCCAGCAGCCGCGGUAAUACGGAGGNGGCAAGCGUUAAUCGGAAUCACUGGGCGUAAAGCGCACGUAGGCGGCUUGGUAAGUCAGGGGUGAAAUCCCACAGCCCAACUGUGGAACUGCCUUUGAAACUGCAAAGCUUGAAUCCUGGAGAGGGUGGCGGAAUUCCUGGUGUAGGAGUGAAAUCCGUAGAUAUCAGGAGGAACACCGGUGGCGAAGGCGGCCACCUGGACAGGUAUUGACGCUGAGGUGCGAAAGUGUGGGGAGCAAA